UUGAUAGUGUGAUUUAGUGAUUUAGUGAUUCCUACUUACUAUUUCUAGUACUUAUCCUGGAAAUGGAAAAUGUGAAUAUGAAAUAUUAAAUAAAAAUGACAAUUAUUUAGUUUGUUAUAAGUGUUAUUGUUAUAGUAUUUAAUUUAAAUAAAUUAUAUGACAUUUUUUUAUAGUUUACUUGUUUGUGUUCAUUUAUUUAUUAAGUUUUGAAUAUUGUGUACACUAAUACUCUAUACAUUUUUUAGUCAUGAAUUAGUGUUGACUUUAACAACAAACAUCAAAAUGAGCGAAAAAUCAUUCAAAACUGUUAAAGCUAAAUUGCUAGAAUGCAACAGGUUACCAGAACCAAUAAAGGACAUAUUAAAAAUAACGGACAAUAAUUCAUUAAAAGAUAUAGAUGAAAACAAUUUCAAUCAGUUAUGGAUUUUGAUAUAUGAUUUUAUUAAAGAAGCUACAGUUCUUGAAAAUAUUACACAUGAUGUAGAGCUAUUGUUAUGCUAUCAAUCUGUUUUAAACCUUGUCAACUAUACAAUAACUUGCGCUGAUGAAGACAUAAUAAGGGUAUAUGAACAUAAUUAUGUACAUAAAACCAUACUGGUUUUUCAAACUUUUUACUCUACAAAUCUCAAAUUUAAGUUCAAAUUAGAUAUUGCAAAAAUGUGCUGUAGCUACUGGCAAUUACAAACUUCUUCACCAGCACAAAAUGGAUCUGAGAAUGUAUACAAUUUUGAUAUGAUUUUAACUAAAAAUUUUGUUUUUACUUUUAAUUAUUUAUUUGAUACUAUUAAAGUGACUACAAAAAAAAAUGGAUAUGAAAAUAUUAUCUGCUGUAUUGUGGGAAUUUUGCAAAGUUGUGAGAAAUUUAUCGUCUAAUAUAAAUGGAUUGAAUUUAAUUGUUCCCAAUUUAAAAAAAUUGAUGAAGUGCCCAAUGUUUUUGGAAGUUGACACAGGAAAAUUGACAAUAGCAGAUAUAUUUACAUGUAGUCAACAACUAUUUCUCGUAAUAUUUUAAAAAUUUCAUCAAGCAGUUAAACAAAAUUUACCAAAAGCCAACAAGGUAGAAGCUGAAGCAUAUGGAGAAAUAUAUUUUAUGGCUUGGAUAAAUUCUAACUCGUCCAUAAGAGAAGU